CGAUGACAGUAAGAGGUCGUCCAUCGUCGCGGGCUCUGUGAUCGGUGCUCUACUGGCGCUGGGAAUCCUUGCUGGCGUUGCAUAUUGCCUGAAGAAGAAGCCGAGUCCACGGGCAGAAGGCAGAUUCAUCCACAUCCACCAGACUGGGUGAACAAAUAAUGUACGCAGAAGUGUCUCAUUUCCAGCGACGGGAUAUACCAGAAUUGGGUGACGGUUCAGCGUCGCACGCCAUGAUGACUGUGUACGACGAGCUGCGGAUGCCCGUCGCCGGCGGCGGAGAGACGCCGGACCGCUGAAGGGACGCGGCGGAGAGGAGCGGACGGCCGCGUCACGCGUCGUCAUCGGACCGAGCGGCCCUCGGGGUGGGGGGGGAGGGGCGCACGGGUUCCGGCGGAUGGACGUCGGGGACUUUCCUGGGGGACUUUGCUGACGACUCAUUGUCAUGUGUGUCCAGUGGAGCAGAACUCCAGCUGUGGUCCAGAAGCGUUUCGAGGAACACGGACAUUUCAGAGAAGAACGCAGUACUGAAUUGUGGUAAAAUGUAGGAUUUACCUUUUCUUGACUGAUCCUUUCGUUUACUUGGAUUUGAGCGCAGAACAACGCUUACUUCACUCUGUCACACGUACACGUUUACCGUGUUAUUUGAGUUGCGCUCUUUGGAAACGAUACCUUGCGUGUCCCGGCGCUCGUGGUGUUCGCCUCGCAUCAGUUACCCCCCCCGGGAGCUGCAGGUGACAGGUGUGUGAAGCUGCUUUGUUCGCAACAUUUCCCCCUUUGUUUCGUAGGGAUGUGAGAGCAGCUGUGUGUGUGUGUGUGUGAAUCCCUGCUAACUGGCCAUUGAAAGCAGUGAAACGCCCGACUCGAUCCCACUGACACCGUCGUUAAAGGUGCCGGCAGAGAAGCGAACAGCGCUUUGUUAUGGCGGAGCGAAGUUUUGUCUCGGGGGGGUCACAUGAUGUGCACACGCCAUCCAUCCGUCCAUUUUCUUGGCUUAGUCCUUCUAGGGCAAUAAGGAGGGACGACGUCGACGGCUAAAAUGAGAAGCAAAACGACAUGUUGCAUCAUUUUUGAAGGUUGAUGUGAAACCGGAGAAAAUAAACUCCUCCGGGGUCACAGGCUGGUUGCAGUGAACAUGGCUGCAUGCCCCCCCCAAAAAAGGUGUGGUCCUCAAUUACAGUUUGUGCCGUGGCUAUAAUUACGCACGCUGGCACGGGGGAUGGGCGGUGGUGCUGCAGACGACCACAACAGGUGCAAACGAUUAGGAUCAGCGCGUGUGUGAAACCCUCAGCUAGAGAACGUCGCUCCGCAUCGCGUGUCGUCCCGGUAACUGCUGACCAGCGAUAUUUCCGUGCGACUGAGUGUGACUCGUUCGCCGCUUCGUGGCGGGGUUGCAGCCCUCCAUUUUGCAUAGGUGAUCCUCGCACCCUUGCUUCUGCGAGUGUGUGCGGCAGGGCCGAGACGGUCAGGAUCUCCAGCCCUGUGCUCAGACCGGGUGGCCCCCCUGCGGGGCUGGAACAAAACACCUGUGGAGCAGCUGUAAGGUCGACCGUUCCCGCACGGCCUCUUUAUCCCUUCGCAAGAGGAGACACCCGCGGCCCGUCUCCGAUCCGCCAGCCCUCGCACGCAAGCGCUGCUGAGUCCCGCGGGAGUGGACAGGAAGUGGCUCUGUGGAAAGUCAGACUGCAGACAGGAAAUUCGCUCUCAGUUUACCGCAGUGUUUCACCAGGCCGGAACAGAUCUCAGCUCUCACCCUUGGGUUCGCUAAUGCAACAGAGAGCAGCACGCACGCACCCACACACACGCACACACACACACCCCGUCUUUCCAUCCCUCGCCACUCGCUCUCGUUCCCACGGACCCCUGGGGUUCACUCGCAAUUUCCUGACGCUCGACUCAAUUUUCAGCUGAAAUGCUGCGAUGGUCAUGAGCGCAGCUCUGCCGACCGUUCGGUCGCCAUUAGACCCGCGGGAGCGCUGUGUUCCACCGGGUUACUGACUUAUGGAGUGUCGACCGCUGCGGAACAGCGACCGGGUUCAUCUGGGGCUCGAACCUACAGCACGCAGCUGGAGGCCUGCUGGUGUUCAGGAGCACGUGGGACUCCUGGAGAUCCGUACCGAUUCUCGGAUUAAUGGACCUACGCGGAGCAGCGGAGCGCUGGGCGGUCGAGAUCUGGGGCUCCAGUAACCGUGUGGUUCAUUCCUCAUUUACCAGGUGGGGCAGGAAGAGGCGGGAAAACGGGCCAGUCGGUCGGCGCUGGGCUUCCUGACCCUGGGGUGAUACCAUGGUCCAGUUUCUUUCUUACUUGCACCACCUACUGGACCGCGGAGGCAUUUCCACACUAAGCAGUUAAACGUUGGGAAAUAUAACAUAACUUUAUACGUGUACGGUGGUCCCGGUGGUCCCAGUGGUAUUGGUGCAGCGGUCUUGGACCCCAGUUUGAGACCAGCAGUGUCUGCUGGUCAGAGCUGUUAGAUUCUCCUCCAGGGACCUGAGUCCAGCUUGCGCCCGGGACCGUGUACAGACAGGCACAGCACAAACACUGCGGCUGGGUAACGGCGCCCUCCUCUGUUAAAAUG